rnacentral:rRNA from 1 species
AUUGAACGCUGGCGGCAGGCCUAACACAUGCAAGUCGAGCGAGCGGCGGACGGGUGAGUAAUGUCUGGGACACUGCCUGAUGGAGGGGGAUAACUACUGGAAACGGUAGCUAAUACCGCAUACCAUCAGAUGUGCCCAGAUGGGCUUAGCCAGUAGGUGGGGUAACGGCUCACCUAGGCGACGAUCCCCAGCUGGUCUGAGAGGAUGACCAGCAACACUGGAACUGAGAGACGGUCCAGACUCCGACGGGAGGCAGCAGUGGGGAAUAUUGCACAAUGGGCGCAAGCCUGAUGCAGCCAUGCCGCGUGUGUGAAGAAGGCCUUCGGGUUGUAAAGCACUUGCAGCGGGGAGGCGUGACCCGCAGAAGAAGCACCGGCUAACUCCGUGCCAGCAGCCGCGGUAAGUC